CGCGGGGGGUGGGGGCCUCCAGUUCCGGCUGGUGUGGCGCGGCGCGGGAGCUGGGAGCUCGUGGGCGCUGCCGCCGCGAUGACCCAGGCGGAGAAGGGGGACGCGGAAAACGGGAAGGAGAAGGGCGGGGAGAAGGAGAAGGAGCAGCGCGGAGUGAAGCGGCCCAUCGUGCCCGCGCAGGUGCCGGAGUCGCUGCAGGAGCAAAUCCAGAGCAACUUCAUUGUUGUCAUACAUCCGGGUUCAACAACUUUAAGGAUUGGUCGAGCCACAGACACACUUCCUAUCAGCAUUCCUCAUGUCAUUGCACGAAGACACAAGCAACAAGGGCAACCCUUGUACAAAGACAACUGGCUCCUAAGGGAAGGACUGAAUAAACCUGAAAGUAACGAACAAAGACAAAAUGGUCUUAAAAUGGUGGAUCAAGCGAUAUGGUCUAAAAAGAUGUCAAAUGGUACAAGACGGAUUCCUGUGUCUCCUGAACAGGCACGCUCCUACAACAAGCAGAUGCGACCUGCAAUUUUAGAUCACUGUUCUGGAAAUAAAUGGACAAACACAUCUCACCACCCUGAGUUUUUGGUAGGGGAAGAGGCCUUGUAUGUUAAUCCACAGGACUGUUACAAUAUCCACUGGCCUAUUAGAAGAGGGCAGUUAAAUACUCACCCAGGACCUGGGGGCUCCCUUACAGCUGUUCUGGCAGAUAUUGAAGUAAUAUGGUCUCAUGCAAUACAAAAAUACCUGGAAAUUCCAUUGAAAGAUUUAAAGUAUUAUAGGUGUAUCUUGUUAAUUCCUGAUAUUUAUAAUAAGCAGCAUGUGAAAGAAUUAGUGAAUAUGAUCCUAAUGAAGAUGGGUUUCUCAGGGAUUGUGGUCCAUCAGGAGUCUGUGUGUGCCACUUUUGGAAGUGGUUUAAGCAGCACGUGUAUUGUAGAUGUUGGGGACCAGAAGACAAGUGUAUGCUGUGUGGAGGAUGGAGUCUCUCAUCGGAAUACUCGACUCUGUCUGGCAUAUGGAGGGUCUGACGUAUCAAGAUGUUUUUACUGGCUGAUGCAGCGAGCUGGAUUCCCUUACAGAGAAUGCCAAUUGACAAAUAAAAUGGAUUGCCUUCUUCUACAGCACCUAAAGGAAACUUUCUGUCAUUUGGAUCAGGACAUCUCUGGGCUUCAGGACCAUGAGUUUCAGAUUCGGCAUCCAGACUCACCUGCCCUGCUUUACCAGUUUCGAUUGGGAGAUGAAAAACUCCAGGCUCCAAUGGCUUUGUUUUACCCAGCAACCUUUGGAAUCGUCGGACAAAAAAUGACGACUCUGCAGCACAGGUCCCAGGGUGACCCCGAGGACCCUCAUGAUGAACACUACCUGCUGGCCACACAGAGCAAGCAAGAGCAGUCUGCAAAAGCUACUGCUGACCGCAAGUCUGCAUCCAAGCCCAUUGGAUUUGAAGGGGAUCUUCGUGGGCAGACCUCGGAUCUUCCAGAAAGACUCCAUUCCCAGGAGGUGGAUUUGGGGUCCUCCCAGGCAGACUGUCUGAUGGCUGGCAACGACUCCGAGGAGGCCCUCACCGUGCUGAUGUCCAGGAAGACUGCCAUCUCGCUGUUUGAAGGGAAAGCCCUAGGCCUGGACAAAGCCAUCCUUCACAGCAUAGACUGCUGUUCAUCUGAUGACACCAAAAAGAAAAUGUACAGUUCCAUCCUGGUGGUGGGAGGUGGCCUGAUGUUUCAUAAAGCACAAGAAUUUCUGCAGCACAGAAUUCUCAACAAAAUGCCACCUUCCUUCAGGCGAAUUAUUGAAAACGUAGAAGUCAUCACAAGGCCCAAGGACAUGGAUCCUCGGCUGAUCGCAUGGAAAGGGGGCGCAGUGCUGGCUUGUUUGGAUACGACACAGGAACUGUGGAUCUACCAGCGAGAAUGGCAGCGCUUUGGUGUCCGCAUGUUACGAGAGCGAGCUGCCUUCGUAUGGUGAAAUGGACAGGAAAAGUCACUCUUGGAGACCCGAAACAAGCCUCUUGGUAUAAAAGACUCUUAGAGAAUAUAUAUAUAUAUAUAUAUAUAUUUUUAAGUUUAUUAUCCUAAGUGCUUCAAUUUCAUGGAAAAUAAAUGAAUUUUAACUUGUGUUGAGGACAUGACAUUGUUGUGAAAUUAUAAGCUACUUUUGCAAUCGACCUUUGAGAAUAAAUGCACUAGUGUCUCCCGCCCCUUUCAGGGUCUCAGGAACCUCCCAGUGAUGUGAGAGCUUGAGCCAUUGUCGAGUGGUGAAGCUCUUCAUUGCAGUUGACUUCUGAGUGACAUGAGACAGUCUCCUGCAUCCCUGAGGAGGGGGGUGUGAUUUGGGAGCAUGCAUUGUAUGGUCAUGACAUUUUCCCUCUUGGCUAGAACAGCGAGCACAUCAUGUGUCUUGAGUGUUCUCAGAAUUUCAAAUAGGAACAAGUUUUUGUUUUUAAAAUUUUUCUGUUACAUUACAAAAACGAUGAGGGCAGAUUCAGGUCUAGAUUUGUCAGGGCAGAUUGGGCUGUCUGGUUUUUGUUACUCAACAUGCUCUAGGGCAAGGAAAAGAAAACAGUCAUCAUCUGACCAAAACAGAACGAGAGCUGGAAAGGGAAUUUUGUUUCUUUGAUACGGCCAAUAGGAAUGACUUUGGUAUAAUUUAGGGUUGUUAGCAUGUGUUGUACAGAUAAGCCGGCUGACUGCUGCAAUUACUGCUAACAAUUCUCUUUAUCUGAAGGACCAGUGAAAACAUUUGGAGUUCUUUGUGUUCAGUGUGGCCAGUUGACCUUAACCUGUGAGCAGUGUGAAGCAGACAGCUAUCACCACCAGAGGGCCAGGCCUUAGAGAAGCCUGAGCAGAAGAGGAGGCCUUGCUUGCUGAACUGAACCAGAGCCAGUCAGUGAGCACAGCAUGGGGGCUCAGAGACCUGGAAGGGUUGGGCAGUGCCCAAUUCCUGCCAGUUUCUCGCACUUGCUUCCACUAUCUCACCACCAAGAACUGGAGGUGGGACUGGGGCAAAGACGAACAUAGGGACAGUUAAGGGGUAAAUAAGAGUGGAAUAUAGAAUAAGGAUGGUAAUAAGUCCUUAGACAUGGAGCAAUGCUGGUAAUAGCAUUUUACAAUAAGAGUAUUUUAUGUAUCUGCCUAGUAGGUUAGGAACAAGGGAGGGUGUAACAAAAUGUAACUUGGUAGUACUAUUUGGAAUGUAUGCCUUCAGUUU